rnacentral:rRNA from 1 species
GAUGAACGCUGGCGGCGUGCCUAAUACAUGCAAGUAGAACGCUGAAGCUUGGUGCUUGCACCGAGCGGAUGAGUUGCGAACGGGUGAGUAACGCGUAGGUAACCUGCCUCUUAGCGGGGGAUAACUAUUGGAAACGAUAGCUAAUACCGCAUAAAAGUCGACAUCGCAUGAUGUUGACUUGAAAGGUGCAAUUGCAUCACUAAGAGAUGGACCUGCGUUGUAUUAGCUAGUUGGUGAGGUAACGGCUCACCAAGGCGACGAUACAUAGCCGACCUGAGAGGGUGAUCGGCCACACUGGGACUGAGACCCGGCCCAGACUCCUACGGGAGGCAGCAGUAGUGAAUCUUCGGCAAUGGGGGCAACCCUGACCGAGCAACGCCGCGUGAGUGAAGAAGGUUUUCGGAUCGUAAAGCUCUGUUGUAAGAGAAGAACGAGUGUGAGAGUGGAAAGUUCACACUGUGACGGUAACUUACCAGAAAGGGACGGCUAACUACGUG